rnacentral:lncRNA from 10 species
CGACGAGAAGUCGCCGCGGCAACGGCGUCACCCGCGUGUCACGGUCGUGACGUCACCCCGGUGCGUGACGUAAUCUGAGGCGCGCCUUCGCGCCGUCGUCCGGGGAGGGUUUUUUCCCUUCUAACCACCCGCGCUCUCACACUUUGCCUCCGCUCCGCCGUUUCCAUGGCUCCGGUUUCCUACUUUCCUCUUGUCUCCUCCGUCCUCAGCCUGUUCUGUAAUGUGGGAUUUACUAGAAGAGCAGGGCUGGUGUUCGAGGAGGAGAAGUUGAAAUCCUAGAGGGAGGAAGGCGGGGAAGCCAAUACUACUUGCUAUUUCCACUGCAAUGAACGUCUCUGUGUCAUCAAAAUAAGAACUUCAACCCCAAGGUUGAAACAGCCAAGCAGAAUUUGAUGGAAAUAUAUUUAGGAACAGCUAAAUUAGCAGUGCGACGCGUGUUUUCUUUUCAUUGAAGAAUUCAGCCAGUUAAAACGAGUCUAAAUGGAAGUCUGAAAGCUUUUUCUUCAUUGUUGAGGAAUAAAAUAUUUCGUGUAUUUUUCGUUUUCCAGAUUCAUUCAUUUAACAAAUAUCAGUUGAGCACUUUCCAUGCCGUAGGGCCUGUACAAGGCACAUAGCAUUCUAGACAUCUGAAGCAUCAAAACUAAUCAUUUUUAUUUUGAAGAAAAUCACUCAAAAUAUUUUAUGUACUUUGUGCCUUUCAUGAACAGAAUAUUCCAAGCAUUCUCUGCAAAAUACGCAUGAAAACAAUUGGGAGAGAAGAGGUCAAUUAUCUUUGAGAAGCCCAAUUACAGAAUGAAAUUCAAUUCAUUAUUAAAAAUACAUGGAUCUAAUAAAGAAUAAAUAAUUGGAAAAGAAAAGUUUAAGGAAGAGAGAAACGGGAAUGAGAAACAAUUACUGUGGGCUCCCAAUGGCCUGGAGUGAAUCACCAAAGUAACCUAAACAUGAAGUCAUGAAAAACUAAGUGGAUUCUGCCUUUUAGUACUUCCCAUCAUGGGGGAAGUCACCAGCGACCUCCUUACUGUAUUUUGGAUGAUUCAAGAAAUAGAAAGGUGUCCUACUGACUUCUGAAACAGGGUGUCUUCAUAUUGAUUAGGGUCACCGUAAGCCUGGGAGCUGAUGCUUACUCUCAGGUAAAGGAUGCUGUGUGAGGCUGCUUGAUGAAUGAGAAUACUAACAUUCUUCUGCAUUGAAAAAAUAUAACCUAUAAGAUGAACAUUGUAGGCCGGGCGCAGUGGCUCACGCCUGUAAUCCCAACACUUUGGGAGUCUGAGGCGGAUGGAUCACCUGAGGCCAGGAGUUUGAGACCAGCCUGGCCAACGUAGUGAAACCUCAUCUCUAUUAAAAGUACAAAAAAUUAGCCUGGUGUGGUGGUGCACACUUGUAAUCCCAGCUACUCAGGAGCCUGAGGCAGGAGAAUCAUUUGAACCUGGGAGGCAGAGGUUGCAGUGAGCCGAGAUUGCACCACUGAACUCCAGCCUGGGCAACAGAGCCAGACUCUGUCUCCAAAAAAAAAAAAACAUGAACAUGGCCAUUCUAAAGUCCUACAGUAUCCAGAUGAGAAACGAGAGAAAGCAUAAGCUUUGGAGUCCAAAGAUCAGGAUUUUAGCGUCAGCACUCCACACCUUAGCUAUACAAUCUCAAAGCAGCCUGCACCUGUGGCCUCAUGGCGCAUUCUCUACAAUCAGUUGACAGAGGAAGAGAAGACUCAGGCCUGGUUUACAGAUGAUUUUGCAUUCUACGCAGGUACGACUCAAAAGUGUACUUCUGCCACAUUACAGUCCCUUUCUGAGACAUCCCUGAAAUACUGUAGGAAGGGAAAUCUUCCCAGGUGGCAGAACUUUGAGCAGUGCACUUGGUUGUUCACUUUGCUUGUAAGGAGAGAUGGCCAGAUGUGCAAUUAUGUAUCAAUUCUUGAGCUGUGGCCAGUGAUUUGGCUGGGUGGUCAGGGACUUGGAAAGAACAUGAUUUAAAAAUUGGUGACAAGGAAAUUUGGGGAAGAGAUAUGUGGGUGGACAUCCCUGAGCAAAAAACUUCUGAAGUUAUUUGUGUCCCAUGUGAAUGCUCACCAAACCAAAAGGUGAUGUCAGCAGAGGAGGAUUUUAAUAAUCAAGUGGAUAGAAUAACCCAUGUGUGGAUACCAGCGGUAUUAGUCCAUUCUCUCACUACUGUGAAGAAAUAUGCAAGACUAGGUAAUUUAUAAAGAAAAGAGGUUUAAUUGACUCACAGUUCCACAUGGCUGGGGAGGCCUCAGGAGACUUGCAGUCGUGGCAGAAGGCACCUCUUCACAGGGCAGCAGGAGAAUGAGGGCUAAGCAAAGGGGGAAGCCCUUUAUAAAACCAUCGGAUCUCAUGAGAACUUACUCAAUAUCACGAGAACAGCAUGGAGGAAACAGUCCCCAUGUUUCAAUUACCUCCUACUGGGUCCCUCCCAUGCCAUGUGGGGAUUAUGGGGAUUAUAGUUCAAAAUGAGAUUUGGGUGGGGAUACAGCCAAACCAUAUCACCAGUGAAACUCUUUCCCCAACAACCCCAUUAUUGUCCAAUGGGCUCAUAAACAAACUGGCCAUGGUGACAGGGAUGGAGGUUGUGCAUGGGCUCAGCAACAUGGACUUCCAUUUACCAAGGCCAACCUGGCUGUAGCCACUGCCGAGUGUACAUUCUGCCAGCAGCAGAGACCAACACUGAACACGCCAUAUAUGGUCCUAUUCACUGGGGUAAUCAGCCAGCUACCUGAUAGCAGGUUACCAUUGGACAUAUGGAAGAGGCAGCAUUUGGUUCUUACAGGAACAGACAUUUAUUCUAGAUAUAGAUUUGCCCUCCCUGAAUGCAGUGCU